UACGUAGGGGGCAAGCGUUGUCCGGAAUCAUUGGGCGUAAAGAGCGUGUAGGCGGUCCGGUCAGUCGGUUGUGAAAGUCAAGGGCUCAACCCUUGAAUGCCGGCCGAUACUGCCGGGCUAGAGUCCGGAAGAGGCGAGUGGAAUUCCUGGUGUAGCGGUGAAAUGCGCAGAUAUCAGGAGGAACACCGAUGGCGAAGGCAGCUCGCUGGGACGGUACUGACGCUGAGACGCGAAAGCGUGGGGAGCAAACAGG
rnacentral:rRNA from 1 species